rnacentral:lncRNA from 1 species
GGAAGUAGUGGAGAAGAGGGCUCGGCGGCAAUGGAGGGAUCGCGCGAUGGAGAGGAAGACGCGCGGGCGAUGCAUCAUGUCCGCCUCUUCGAUGACUCUUCCGUCCUCUUCUCUUCCUCUAUCUUCCCCUCUGUUCUGGGAUGUGAGAGGCUCUGCGUUGCAACGCGUGUAGGUGGGAUGGCUGUUUUUUUUUUUCUCCUUUUUUUUCUUUAUUAUUAUUAUUAUUAUUAUUAUUAUUAUUAUUAUUAUUAUUAUUAUUAUUUAUAUUAGCUUCUCAUACUAAUUUCGCAUGAGCACAAC